rnacentral:rRNA from 1 species
UACGUAGGGGGCGAGCGUUGUCCGGAUUUAUUGGGCGUAAAGAGCUCGUAGGCGGUUUGGUAAGUUGGAUGUGAAAUCUCCAGGCUCAACUUGGAGGGGUCAUUCGAUACUGCCAUGACUAGAGUUCGGUAGGGGAGUGUGGAAUUCCUGGUGGAGCGGUGAAAUGCGCAGAUAUCAGGAGGAACACCCGUAGCGAAGGCGGCACUCUGGGCCGGAACUGACGCUGAGACGCGAAAGCGUGGGGAGCGAACAGG